UGGCAGACGGGUGAGUAACGCGUGGGAAUUUACCUAGUGGUACGGAAUAACCCAGGGAAACUUGGACUAAUACCGUAUACGCCCUUCGGGGGAAAGAUUCAUCGCCAUUAGAUGAGCCCGCGUUAGAUUAGCUUGUUGGUGAGGUAAAGGCUCACCAAGGCUACGAUCUAUAGCUGGUCUGAGAGGAUGAUCAGCCACACUGGGACUGAGACACGGCCCAGACUCCUACGGGAGGCAGCAGUGGGGAAUAUUGCACAAUGGGCGCAAGCCUGAUGCAGCCAUGCCGCGUGAGUGAUGAAGGCCCUAGGGUUGUAAAGCUCUUUCAUCGGUGAAGAUAAUGACGGUAGCCGAAGAAGAAGCCCCGGCUAACUCCGUGCCAGCAGCCGCGGUAAU
rnacentral:rRNA from 1 species